AUCGUAAUAGACUUGUAGGCUGACAAUGGGGGGACGGCUUCUUUGCGUGUUAACAACGCUGCUGGCGCUGUUCGGAUGUCAUGCGGAGGAAGGUAAUGUUAUCUGCUCCUCCAAUUCCAUGACCCUGGAGAUGCCACCAGAUGCUGUAUUGGACUCUGACCGGCGAGUCUAUGUGAUUG